rnacentral:misc_RNA from 1 species
UGAAACCUCCACAACCAGCAGCUCAAGGUGUGGCAUGUGACCAUUGGAUGGAUGAUCCAAAGAAAGCGGAGGCGUCGCCGCGGGCCGCUCCAGAUCGAGAAGCGACCGACACUCCACCUCAAGGGCAGACCCCCCUCACCACCAACACAUCCGGUCGCAAAAAACAGCGUUCCCCACUAUGGCGGCCGCAAAAUCCACAGAUGGGGGAGGAUGCGCCACAGGGACGGAGGAAGUGCAGGCGGAGUCCGGGGAGGUAAAGAAGGAAGAGCAAAUGGCCAUGCCCG